rnacentral:rRNA from 1 species
CCCUUAGUUGUUCUGGGCCGCACGCGUGCUACACUGAGUGGAUCAGCGGGUCAGGUUGCGCGAAAGCGUUUCCUAAUCUUGAAAUCCGCUCGUGAUGGGGAUUGACGGUUGCAAUUUUCCGUCAUGAACGAGGAAUACCUUGUAAGCGCGGGUCAUCAUCCCGCGCUGAAUACGUCCCUGCCCUUUGUACACACCGCCCGUCGCUCCUACCGAUUGAGUGGUCCGGUGAGGCUUUGGGAUCUGAGCGGAAAGAGCGUUUCGCUGUUUCUGCUCGGAAAACUCAGUCGAACCUUAUCAUUUAGAGGAAGGAGAAGUCGUAACA